GGGGGCGACCUGGUUUCGACGGGGGUGGGGAGACAAGAGCUGCGUGCCGAGGUCCCAGUUACCUCGUAAAACUAUUGGGACAUUUUAUACUUGCGGACAAUACGUACGCAAUGGCUGCCUAACGAGUUAGGCAGUCCGUUCCCCCGGACCUUGCCUGUGUGGUCUGGACGGAGCGCCGACUAGAGCAGGCUAGUUCAGGGGCUUCCGCUCGAGGGCCCCCGAGCGAACCCAAAUCGAGCUGGCGCGUGUAUCACCCUGUCUGUCGGGGGAUUCCGCGCGAGACUCUAAAUCGAUAGACUACGCACUGUAGACGCGCUUGUUAAACUGCUUUCGGACGCGGGUUCUAUUCCCGCCGCCUCCACCA
rnacentral:tmRNA from 1 species